rnacentral:rRNA from 1 species
GUAUCGGAACGUGCCCAGUCGUGGGGGAUAACUGCUCGAAAGAGCAGCUAAUACCGCAUACGACCUGAGGGUGAAAGCGGGGGAUCGCAAGACCUCGCGCGAUUGGAGCGGCCGAUAUCAGAUUAGGCAGUUGGUGAGGUAAAGGCUCACCAAGCCGACGAUCUGUAGCUGGUCUGAGAGGACGACCAGCCACACUGGGACUGAGACACGGCCCAG